UACGAGAGGCCCAAACGUUAUUCGGAAUUACUGGGCUUAAAGAGUUCGUAGGCGGCAUGAAAAGUAGGGUGUGAAAGCCCUCGGCUUAACCGAGGAAUUGCGCUCUAAAUUGUCGUGCUUGAGGAACCUAGAGGUGAGCAGAACAGAUGGUGGAGCGGUGAAAUGCGUUGAUAUCAUCUGGAAUACCGGAGGCGAAGGCGGCUCACUGGGGGUUUUCUGACGCUGAGGAACGAAAGCCAGGGUAGCGAACGGG
rnacentral:rRNA from 1 species